GCUUGUCUCAAAGAUUAAGCCAUGCAUGUUCAAACAUAAGUAUUAUAAAGCGAAGUUGCGAAUGGCUCAUUAUAUCAGUUAUAAUAUACUAGAUAGUUUCUCUACUUGGAUAACCGUAGUAAUUCUAGAGCUAAUACAUGCACAAAAUCCCGACUUCACGGAAGGGAUGUAUUUAUUAGAUAAAAAACCAAUCCGGCAACGGUGCUUGGUGAUUCAUAAUAACUGUUCGAAGCGCACGGCCUCGCGCCGGCGCUAGUUCAUUCAAAUUUCUGCCCUAUCAGCUUUCGACGGUAGUGUAGUGGACUACCGUGGCGCUAACGGGUGACGGAGAAUUAGGGUUCGGUUCCGGAGAGGGAGCCUGAGAAACGGCUACCACAUCCAAGGAAGGCAGCAGG
rnacentral:rRNA from 1 species